rnacentral:rRNA from 1 species
UACGUAGGGCGCAAGCGUUGUCCGGAAUUAUUGGGCGUAAAGAGCUCGUAGGCGGCUUGUCACGUCGGGUGUGAAAGCCCGGGGCUUAACCCCGGGUCUGCAUUCGAUACGAGCAAACUAGAGUGUUGCAGGGGAGACUGGAAUUCCUGGUGUAGCGGUGAAAUGCGCAGAUAUCAGGAGGAACACCAACGGCGAAGGCAGCUAGCUGGACGAGAUCCGACGCUCAGGCUCGAAAGUAUGGGGAGCAAAAAGG